rnacentral:rRNA from 1 species
AGCAGCAGCCACGGGAAUACGGAGGGUGCAAGCGUUAUCCGGAUUUAUUGGGUUUAAAGGGUCCGUAGGCGGAUCUGUAAGUCAGUGGUGAAAUCUCACAGCUUAACUGUGAAACUGCCAUUGAUACUGCAGGUCUUGAGUAAAUUUGAAGUGGCUGGAAUAAGUAGUGUAGCGGUGAAAUGCAUAGAUAUUACUUAGAACACCAAUUGCGAAGGCAGGUCACUAAGAUUUAACUGACGCUGAUGGACGAAAGCGUGGGGAGCGAACAGGAUUAGAUACCCCUGUAGUCCCUGUCUCUUAUAC